AAUGAACGCUGGCGGCGUGCUUAACACAUGCAAGUUGAACGAGAAAGGCUGAUUUCGGUUGGCCGAGUAAAGUGGCGCACGGGUGAGUAACGCGUAGGCAACCAACCCUUGUAUUGGGGAUAACCCCGCGAAAGCGGGGCUAAUACCGGAUAAGACCCUAUUCUGGUGGGGAUAGGGUGAAAGUCGGCCGCUCGGAGAAGCUGACGUACGAGGAUGGGCCUGCGUCCUAUCAGCUAGUUGGUGGGGUAGCGGCCUACCAAGGCGACGACGGGUAGCUGGUCUGAGAGGAUGAUCAGCCACACUGGCACUGGAACACGGGCCAGACUCCUACGGGAGGCAGCAGUGAGGAAUUUUGCGCAAUGGCCGCAAGGCUGACGCAGCAACGCCGCGUGGGUGAUGAAGGCCUUCGGGUCGUAAAGCCCUGUCAGGUGGGAAGAAAGGUUUCAAGGAGAAACACUUGGGAUUUGACGGUACCACCAGAGGAAGCACCGGCUAACUCCGUGCCAGCAGCCGCGGUAAUACGGAGGGUGCGAGCGUUAUUCGGAAUUACUGGGCGUAAAGCGCGUGUAGGCGGGGAUGCAAGUCUGAUGUGAAAGCCCUGGGCUUAACCUGGGAAGUGCAUUGGAAACUGCAUUUCUUGAGUACUGGAGAGGAAGGGGGAAUUCCCGGUGUAGAGGUGAAAUUCGUAGAGAUCGGGAGGAAUACCAGUGGCGUAGGCGCCCUUCUGGACGGUUACUGACGCUGAGACGCGAAAGCGUGGGGAGCAAACAGGAUUAGAUACCCUGGUAGUCCACGCUGUAAACGAUGAUCACUAGGUGUAGCGGGUACUCAUUCCUGCUGUGCCGUAGCUAACGCGUUAAGUGAUCCGCCUGGGG
rnacentral:rRNA from 1 species